GUGUUGUACGAAAGGAGCACUCACUUGACAAGGAUGGAAGAGGCCCUCGGGCAUGACAACACAUAUGGUUAAGGCACUGCCACCUAUUUCAUGUCAUCUAACCAUCGUUAAAA
ensembl:snRNA